rnacentral:rRNA from 1 species
AACUUAGCAGAGAUGCUUUGGUGCCUUCGGGAACUCUGAGACAGGUGCUGCAUGGCUGUCGUCAGCUCGUGUUGUGAAAUGUUGGGUUAAGUCCCGCAACGAGCGCAACCCUUAUCCUUUGUUGCCAGCGGCUCGGCCGGGAACUCAAAGGAGACUGCCGGUGAUAAACCGGAGGAAGGUGGGGAUGACGUCAAGUCAUCAUGGCCCUUACGGCCAGGGCUACACACGUGCUACAAUGGCGCAUACAAAGAGAAGCGACCUCGCGAGAGCAAGCGGACCUCAUAAAGUGCGUCGUAGUCCGGAUUGGAGUCUGCAACUCGACUCCAUGAAGUCGGAAUCGCUAGUAAUCGUAGAUCAGAAUGCUACGGUGAAUACGUUCCCGGGCCUUGUACACACCGCCCGUCACACCAUGGGAGUGGGUUGCAAAAGAAGUAGGUAGCUUAACCUUCGGGAGGGCGCUUACCACUUUGUGAUUCAUGACUGGGGUGAAGUCGUAACAAGGUAAGCGUAGCGAG